GCACAAUUAUUAAGAAUAUGGCAAUAAACAAAUAUUCAACUUUUCAAUUACAUAUUCAAUUUAUAAUAGCAAGAAACAUAAAGAAGAUAAAGAUAGAAAGAACAGUGCAAAAGGGAUUUUUAUCCUAGUUCGUUUGUGAUCCACUACAAACUACAUCCAGGCCUCCCCUUCUGGAUCAGGGAGAUUUUCUUUCUUCACAAUAUUGAAAAAUGGAUACAAAUACUAAUUCAAUUACAAGCACAUAGGACGUUCCUUUCUUGAAAUCUAGUAUCUCUAAAUCCUUGGUUUGACUCUACCCUUCGCCUCUGAGAAAACCUUUCUUGCGAACUAGCCACAGCCAAGAUUCUUAUCCUCAAAUCAAGACAUCAUAGCCUUGAUGAAGAACCUCAAUCUCUGUGGUGAUCUCACGCCAAGAGACAAAUCCAGACUACACAAAAACACGUUAAACAGUAAGGUAUACUAAGCACAAUAAUGCUUAAAAUAUGACAAGAUAAAGACUCAAAGAUUAAUCAUUUUACUAACCACUUAAGCCAUCAAGAUUCAAAUGAGUUAAUCAAUAUCAGUAUACAAAUAAUUUCUCUCUAACAAACUCUGAUGCAUGAGCAUGUGAGCAAGAUAAGAAUGGAUACAAAAUUAUGCAAAAACAGCAAGCAUAUAACAGUAAUUAAACCAGCAUAAUCUAUCUUCUCACGCAUGCAACUCUCUUGCAAAAACACAGUAAAACACGUAUGCAAAAUGCUCUCUAAACAACCCUAUACAAUAGAAUGCAAUGAUGUGGGUUUCUGAACAAUGCCUUGUAUUUAUAGCAUAGAGAAUAUGCGGUUACAUUCAUUGCAAAAACAGUUAAACAAUUAAAACAGAUUUCAGAAUGCACGUUUAUUUUAAAUAUUCUAUAUAUUUUUUUAAUUUUAAUAAUUAUAUUUUUUAUAGGAUAUGAGUUGAUAUGAUCACGUUUUGAGCAUAUGUUUAGUAUAUUGUGUGAAAACAAUCUGAGGACAGGAUAAUGGAUGGAGAUCCCGAAAGAAAAAUGGACAUAAUCUUACGACGAAGAGAGAUGAUACAGUCAUAUGACCACCAACCUUGCAGAAUGCAUUAAUGGUUGUGAACACUCAAUUUUGUCCGGACUGACUUCAUGAAAAAUAAAAUUCGACUAAGUUAAAUUUUUAAAUAACACAUUACAAGUUUAAGGUGUUCAUAAUUAUAUUGUAUUCAUUCUCUCGGGUAUGAGGUUUGUACUGAUUGGCAUUUCAAGCGGUCUUGUACUUUGUUAAACUAAACACUGAAUUGCAUUGCUAGCUGCGGUGAUAACAAAUGAACUACUUUAAUCUCCUCUGUCUCAAACUUGGCCCAUUUAUGAUCAUACAUUACAUAAUUUUGGGAGAACAAUAAUUUCUUAUACCAAACUUUUCUUUGCACGUAUUCACACUCAUGUCGUGACCACUGAUGAGAAGUUGAAGUCAUUUUCGUUACAACGGUAAUGAGUAGAUAAAUUUUGUCCCCAUGUUAUUUUCUUCACUCACUGACUCUAAUCUUGUAAUCAAAUUUUGAAGUAUCAGUUUUUCAAGAGUGGCUAUGAAGAAGAAAAGGAUGAGGGAUCUCAAUAGAGCUUCAUGACUUACAACCAAAGGUGCCAGUGUGCUAGAGAACGCUACAACUGAUUGAGCGCUCCACGUUUGCUAUACUUGCUGUAUUAUGUUGGCCAAGGAUUUCAUGGGAGAACAUGAAGCGUGCAAUGUUGUCAUGUAGCAUAUUAAGGCUAACUGAAAUUGCAAGCAAUUGGUUGAAAAGUCUGGAUUAAGGAAAGCUAGUUGUUAAAGUAUGGCUAUUACAAUAGAGCAUUCUAGGUAAUCAAAGGACGUACAAGAAAAUUAAGCAUGAAUCAACAUAAUUCCAAGUAAACAGCACUCAAUGGAUAAAAUAUAUUGGCAUUUCAGUUACAAUCAGCUAAAGACCACAGUCUGAGGCAAUCAAAAUCCAGCUGUGGGUUAUCAAUGUAAAAAAUUCCAAAAAAUAGCAAUAAAGAAGAUAUAUCAUAAAUUCCUACAUUCCAGUUACACAUCAUCGUACAAACAUCAAGUGCAUUCAUGGAGUUAACUCAAGGGAUUCCAAAAGAAUGUCAACCUGCCAUAAUUCAGCAUAAGGUGACACUAAAAAGGUGCAAAUCAAUAAUUAUUGAUUUCAGUUUUGCUAGGCAGCCUUAAUGGUCAGUUUUAAAAGUUAAAAAUCAGAAACAGAGAGUCAGGGCAAGUUGCUAAAUCAAAGGGCCAAUGGAAGGUUUCUCUUAAUUAUCACAAUCAGCCUUUGGCCUCUAUAAAAGGGGAUACACACGACAUAUACAAAGGGGGGUGAAAAACAGAGAGUGAAAACAGAGGGCAUUCAGUAAGAAAGAGAUAACAAACCAGAUUCCACAUACAGUGACAUACAAGAUAAAGUCCAGAAACAUACACUGCAACAGAGCAGAGCAAAACACAGAGAACAGAGAAAAGAGAACAUCUUGGAACAAAGAUUCAACACGCAGAGGGAUAAGAGAACAAAGCAUAUUCAGGUAAGUCACCCACCCUAUUCAUUCAAGUGCUAACAAACAGAAAUGAACCUUACUCAUUGCGAAUCACAUAUCCUAAUGUUCAUAUCAUUAACAUAAGUCGAGGGUUUACUCCCUAAUGAUUUUUCAUACAUUCAGAGAACAUAAGGGGAACGAUUAUGAUAGUUUUAAUAUGAAUAAAAUCAUGCAAUUUUACUAGCUUAGUACUAACAUUUCAUACAUAACAAGUUCGGAAAGAAAUAGUACACCCUUUGGGUUUUAACAUGUUUCUUACACAUCUAAUCGGAAAUCACACAAAGAACACACACUUUUCAUUCAUUUGAUUUCAACAGAGAUGUAUAUAUUAACAUGAAAAUGCAGCGCAAUAAUGUUAAGAUAUAGGGUUCAUUUCUGGAUAAUUCUUAGCCUAAAUUAGUUACAUAUAACCAACCAAUAAUCAGCCAAUGUAGUUCUGUAGAAUUAAAGAAGGGUAAAAUUCAUUACCCAAACCCUUUUGUGUUUUUGCCGAUUCCAAAUCGCAAUCCUUAAUACCAUCCCCACCUAGAGAGAACCACACAUUCAACUCUUUUCCUUGGCCUUAAUGAACCUCAGUGAUGAUAACGAGAAUCAGAAACAACAAAAAGUAAUAAUAAUGCGAAACGAAGGGAGUAGAGUUCAUUACCGACCCGAGGCCACCUCGAUCUGGCCAUAAAUCACCCAGGAGCGUGAUCAUCCGUCAUCACCGAGAGUCAUCGCAAACCGCCAUUAAAUAAAGGACCUUGUCGUCACUGGAAAGGGAACCGAAGAGGAGUCAACACGACUUAGUGGCCGUGUUACAUGGGGGAGAUACCUUGUUCGCCGCUUUCCGUCACUGCACCGCCCCUCUCAACUUCCGUUGCUGCCAUCGAAGGUGAGGAGGAGGAGGAGAAGAUUCGGGAUUCAAAUCCCUUGGCCAUCGAAGGUGCGGAAGAGGAGAGGAUUUGGGGGUUUGUCCCUCUUCUUCUAAGAUUAGGGAUUCUAAUCCCUUGGCCACGUAAAAAAUGAGAAAGAGAGUGUGAGAUUUAGGGAUUUUCUUUCCCUUUACCCUUGUCCAUUACCGUAGGAUGAAGAAGAUAGAGCAAUUAGGGGAUAAAUCCCAUAUUUCUACGAUUUGUACGUGAGGUUUUUUUUUAUUUAAGUCUAUCUUGUCAUUGUUUU
rnacentral:lncRNA from 1 species